rnacentral:snRNA from 1 species
GUUCUUUCAUGCUUGCUCUGGUAGGACAUAUACUAAAAGUGGGACAAGACAGAGAACAUUAGCAUGGCCCCUGUGCAAGGAUGAUAUGCAAAUUCAUGAAGCAUUCCAUUUUUNA